rnacentral:rRNA from 1 species
UAGUCAAUGGCCUAACGGCUGAACUGGCAACUUGGAGAAGUGGCAAGUCUUCCAGUAUGGGGAGCAAACAGCUAUGGGUCAAGCCCGACAUCUUUAGGAGAAGUCUUAUUGUGAGGGCGAGUUGUAAAACACCAUAGGGCUGGCCGUCCCAUAUGAAAAGAUUUUAUUAGAAUUGAAUGAAACUUUGUUUAUAUAUUGAUAAUGACAGUAUAUAUAUCGUGUCUUGACUAAUUGCGUGCCAGCAGUCGCGGUAAUACGUAAGAGACUAGUGUUAUUCAUCUUAAUUAGGUUUAAAGGGUACCCAGACGGUCAAUAUAGCUUAUAAAAUGUUAGUACUUGACUAGAGUUUUAUGUAAGAGGGCAGUACUUGAGGAGGAGAGAUGAAAUUUCGUGAUACCAAAGGGACUCUGUAAAGGCGAAGGCAGCCCUCUAUGUAAAAACUGACGUUGAAGGACGAAGGCACAGAGAACAAACAGGAUUAGAUACCCAAGUAGUCUUUGCAGUAAAUGAUGAAUGCCAUAGGUUAGAUUAAUAGUUAAUGUAUAUAGGCUAGUAUAAUAGACUAUACAUUAAAAAUUAUUUGGUCUAUAAAUGAAAGUGUAAGCAUUUCACCUCAAGAGUAAUGUGGCAACGCAGGAACUGAAAUCACUAGACCGUUUCUGACACCAGUAGUGAAGUAUGUUAUUUA